UGGAUUAGGCAUGCAAGUCGCGCGAUUCCGCAAGGAAUAGCGGCAAACGGGUUAGUAACACGUGAGUAAUCUUCCUUAAAGUCAGGCAUAGCAUCCUGAAAAGGGUGGUAAUUCCUGAUAGCACUUAAAAUACACAUGUAUUUAAAGUUAAAGACUGGGACCGUAAGGCCAGUCGCUUUUUGAUGAGCUCGCGUCCUAUCAGCUAGUUGGUGAGGUAAUGGCUCACCAAGGCUUAUGACGGGUAGCUGGUCUGAGAGGACGAUCAGCAACACUGGGACUGAGACACUGCCCAGACUCCUACGGGAGGCUGCAGUCGAGAAUCUUUAGCAAUGGACGAAAGUCUGACUAUGCGACGCCGCGUGCAGGAUGAAGGUUUUCGGAUCGUAAACUGC
rnacentral:rRNA from 1 species